rnacentral:tRNA from 1 species
GCCUGGGUGGCUCAGUCGGUUGAGCAUCUGACUUCAGCUCAGGUCACGAUCUCGCGGUCCGUGAGUUCGAGCCCCGCAUCGGGCU